GGCCAGUUAGCUCAGUGGUUUGAGCACGGUGCUGGCAAACAAGGACCAACACCGAGGUCGCAGGAUCGAUUCCUGCUUGGUCC
rnacentral:tRNA from 1 species